rnacentral:rRNA from 1 species
AUACGUAGGGGGCAAGCGUUAUCCGGAUUUACUGGGUGUAAAGGGAGCGUAGACGGUGCAGCAAGUCUGAAGUGAAAUCCCAGGGCUCAACUCUGGAACUGCUUUGGAAACUGUUGCACUAGAGUGCAGGAGAGGUAAGUGGAAUUCCUAGUGUAGCGGUGAAAUGCGUAGAUAUUAGGAGGAACACCAGUGGCGAAGGCGACUUACUGGACGAUAACUGACGCUGAGGCUCGAAAGCGUGGGGAGC